CCAGGCACCACCAACAGCCGCUAUGGGCAAGGGCCGUCAGAUCCUGGGCUCGGUGGCUGCCAACGGCUUCCUGACGGCGUACGGCCUGCUGGAAGGCUACACGACGCCGGCGCUGCCCCAGCUGCGGCGCAGCGGCUCGGGCCUCGCCGUCAGCGACGAAGAUGCCUCCUGGAUCGGCAGCAUCUUCCUGCUGGGUAUCGCGCUGGGUACGCCGCUGCAGGGUCUGAUGCUAGCGUUUGGCCGGCGUCGCUCGCUUAUGCUCGUCUCGCCCGUCAUGUGCUUGGGCUCGCUGCUGAUGACGUUCCCCACCAGCGUUGAGAUGCUGCUGGCCGGCCGCUUCCUCAACGGCCUGGGCAUGGGAUCGGUGCUUCCAAUGGCGCACAUCUUCAUCAGCGAGACGGUGGCACCAGAGCUGCGCGGCGCGCUGGUCGGCUCUGGCAUGUUCUGCAUCAACGUCGGCCUCAUCGCUGUCUACAGCAUGGGCUUCUUCCUGACGUGGCAGCAGAUCGGUGGCGUGAUCGCCACCUUCUACGGCCUGUACCCGCUGGUGCUGUGGCGGCUGCCGGAGACGCCCAACUGGCUGGCGACGCACAACCGCGACGAGGAGGCACACCGCUCGCUGCUCUUCUACUCGGGCGACCAGGGUGCUGAGGCCGAGCUGGCGCGUAUUAAGCAGCGCAGCCUGGCACACAACCCAGACCUGCCGCCGCUCGGCGAGGUGCGCCAGCGCGCCUUCUACAUGCCGCUCAUCAUCAGCAUCACUGUCACCAUCUGCAAGGCCACCUCCGGCACGCCGGCCAUCCACCUCUAUAGCUACGACAUGUUCCUGGCCGUGGGCGGCAACGCCGACCCACUGCUGGCGUCUGUGGUGAGCACGGCGCUCAGCUCGGUCGGCUCCGUGUUCGCGUUUGUGCUGAUGGACCGCGCCGGCCGCCGGCCGCUCUUCAUCCUGGCCAUGUUCACGUGCGGCGCCUGCUGGGUGACGAUCGCGCUCGCCGCCAUGUUCAUCCGUGACCCGAUCGCCACCGACUGGGUGGCCAUCCUCGGCUUCUCGGUGGCGCUCUUCGUCUACAACAUCGGCAUCGGCCCGGUCGGCAUGGUCAUCAUGGGCGAGAUGAUCCCGCUGCGCUACCGCACUGUCAUCUCGCCAGUCCAGUCAAUGAUCAUGUGGAUCUCCAGCUUCGCCAUCGGCAAGACGUUCUUCCAGCUGCGCGAUGGCUUGCACUUUUACGGCCUGUGCUUCCUCUACGCCAGCACGUGCCUGCUGUUCACGCUGCUCGGCUACCUGCUCGUGCCCGAGACCAAGGGUAAGACGCUGUCCGAGAUCGAGGAGCUGUUCGAGAAGCGUGCGCUGCCCGCCAGCCGCAAGGCGAGCGUCGAGUACGGCGUGUUGGGCAACGGGGAGACGGUCGGGGUCAACGCGGCGCCGCGGCCGCCCGCGUACGGCACCGAGGCGACGCUGCCCCAGGCUACCCUGCCGACCCACGACAGCGGCGGCGACGGGGAGAGGGUGACGCAGACCGCGUGACCGGCGCACUGUAGGAGGCGGCCAUGGGCGGGGCUGUUGCAGGCUGCACGACCGCCACGUGGCCGAACGAAGCUAUUUAGACAACGUUCACACAUGAACGCUAACCCACGCUGCGACGCUGUCCGACACACUGCGCACUCUGCCCGUUUCAUUACAGAACGCUCUUGACGUCACAGGUACCCCACAAGCGCGGCACGGGUCACCCCGAAUCCUGACGUCACAGGUACCCCACAAGCGCGGCACGGAUCACCCCAAAUCCUGACGUCACAGGUACCCCACGAGCGCGGCACGGAUCACCCCAAAUCCUGACGUCACAGGUACCCCACAAGCGCGGCACGGAUCACCCCAAAUCCUGACGUCACAGGUACCCCACGAGCGCGGCACGGAUCACCCCGAAUCCUGACGUCACAGGUACCCCACAAGCGCGGCACGGAUCACCCCGAAUCCUGACGUCACAGGUACCCCACAAGCGCGGCACGGGUCACCCCAAAUCCUGACGUCACAGGUACCCCACAAGCGCGGCACGGGUCACCCCGAAUCCUGACGUCACAGGUACCCCACGAAUGCUGCACGGGUCACCCCAACUGCUGUAAAAAGGUACAAUCUUGCCAAUUAGGAUGCUCUCAGUCGUACAACGUAAUAACCUAGCGCUCCAUACGCUAGCUGGGAACGAUGAGCUUGCUCUUUAGAGAACAUGCCGACAUCGAACCGUUACGUUAAUACAUUGCCAAUAGGCGAGGAGACC
rnacentral:misc_RNA from 1 species